rnacentral:rRNA from 1 species
AGUGAACGCUGGCGGUAGGCCUAACACAUGCAAGUCGAACGGCAGCACAGUAAGAGCUUGCUCUUACGGGUGGCGAGUGGCGGACGGGUGAGGAAUACAUCGGAAUCUACUUUUUCGUGGGGGAUAACGUAGGGAAACUUACGCUAAUACCGCAUACGACCUACGGGUGAAAGCAGGGGAUCUUCGGACCUUGCGCGAUUGAAUGAGCCGAUGUCGGAUUAGCUAGUUGGCGGGGUAAAGGCCCACCAAGGCGACGAUCCGUAGCUGGUCUGAGAGGAUGAUCACCCACACUGGAACUGAGACACGGUCCAGACUCCUACGGGAGGCAGCAGUGGGGAAUAUUGGACAAUGGGCGCAAGCCUGAUCCAGCCACACCGCGUGGGUGAAGAAGGCCUUCGGGUUGUAAAGCCCUUUUGUUGGGAAAGAAAAGCAGCAGGUUAAUACCCCGCUGUUCUGACGGUACCCAAAGAAUAAGCACCGGCUAACUUCGUG